AAAUAGUUUAUUGGUUGUUAGUUUAUUCAGUGCAUCCAACGCAUCAUCAAAUGCAUCAUCCAACGCAUCAUUCAGUACACCAUUCAAUACAUCAAUCAGUACAUCAUUCAAUACAUCAAUCAGUAAUCCAUCCAAUACACCAGAAUGUACAUCAGUCUGUAAUUCAAUCCUUAAAUCAGAUGAUCCUGGUGUGUCUUUAUCAAAAAACUCCUCGUACCAGCUUACUGUAAACAGAAAUGAUGCACCUGCUGUUAUCUGUCUUAGUCAAGGUCCAGAAUGGACAGUUUUACCCAACAGUACUUAUAAAAAGGAUUAUGGUAUG